rnacentral:rRNA from 1 species
CCUACGGGAGGCUGCAGUGGGGAAUAUUGCACAAUGGGGGAAACCCUGAUGCAGCGACGCCGCGUGAGUGAAGAAGUAUUUCGGUAUGUAAAGCUCUAUCAGCAGGGAAGAAGCAAGACGGUACCUGACUAAGAAGCCCCGGCUAACUACGUGCCAGCAGCAGCGGUAAUACGUAGGGGGCAAUCGUUAUCCGGAUUUACUGGGUGUAAAGGGAGCGUAGACGGUAUGGCAGGUCUGAUGUGAAAGCCCAGGGCUUAACCCUGGGACGGCGUUGGAAACUGUUAGACUAGAGUGCUGGAGAGGGAAGUGGAAUGCCUAGUGUAGCGGUGAAAUGCGUAGAUAGUAGGAGGAACACCAGGGGCGAAGGCGGGUUACUGGACAGUAACUGACGUUGAGGCACGAAGGCGUGGGGAGAAAACAGGAUUAGAUACCCCAGUAGUC